AUUGAACGCUGGCGGCAGGCUUAACACAUGCAAGUCGAGCGAGCGGAGGACGGGUGAGUAAUGUCUGGGAAACUGCCUGAUGGAGGGGGAUAACUACUGGAAACGGUAGCUAAUACCGCAUACCAUCAGAUGUGCCCAGAUGGGAUUAGCUAGUAGGUGGGGUAAUGGCGCACCUAGGCGACGAUCCCUAGCUGGUCUGAGAGGAUGACCAGCCACACUGGAACUGAGACGCGGUCCAGACUCCUACGGGAGUCAGCAGUGGAGACUAUUGCACAAUGGGCGCAAGACUGAUGCAGCCAUGCCGCGUGGGUGAAGAAGGCCUUCGGGUUGUAAAGCACGUUCAGCGAGGAGGCGUUACUCGCAGAAGAAGCACCGGCUACCGCCGUGCCAGCAGCCGCGGUAAUAC
rnacentral:rRNA from 1 species